CAGUUUUGCUGCUGCUAUGAUUAGUAAAGAUCCUCCUGCAGUGCCUGUGGAAGAUAAUCCAUCAUCACCAAGGCAGUGAAAUUGGCUGACCCCACCCUUAUCCUCCUGCUCAAAUUGAAGAACCAAGUCUUGGAGAGUGCUGCAAUGGAGGUGAAGUCUGUACUGAUGAGCCCUGACUCCACAAUGCAAAGAAGUAGAAGCCAUUGGCUAAGUCUUUUGAAUAUCAUAGCUGCAGUGGAGUGACUGGGAGAAAGGAAAGAGAACCAGGCCCCGGACCCAGAAUAUCUUUACAGCUAAUGAACUGCUUUAUUCUAGUAAAGUCUGAAAUCAAAUGCAGAGGGAUUUGUGAUACAAUACCAAGAUCUGUCUCUGGCUUUCUUCACAUGGGUUCCUAGAUGGUGACUCCAUGAUUUUAAAAGAGUAGAUUUCUCAUCUCAUCCACCCGACGCUACACCUUUUAAUUCUCUCCAUCAUCCCAGAACUCAAAAGAUCCAUGAGGAACCCGCUGCUCCCUUCCACGCAUCAGUCUGCGUCUCCUAUCUGGGAGCGUGCAAGCCACUUGGACACACGAGUGUGACCAGGGACAGCUGCUGAUGAGCCUGGUGCCUUCCCCAGUGGGCGAGGCUAAGGCCGGGGCUGUGAGAAGUACAAACAUACUGGAGGAACUACCAGCAAGCAGCGGCCACAUGUGUUGCUCCUUUCACUGUGGAGGCUCCCAGUAGAACCCUGCAGCUCCGUGGAUACCGAUUUAUAUCUGCAUCCACAAAUAUAAAUUUGUAUCCGCACAGAGCUCUACUGAUUUAGUCUCUAUAUGGUGCACUGAGUUUGAGUUCUAAAUAUUGCAUACUGAUGGGCAAGGAAGAUGAUCUUAGCAAAUGCAUUUUGAAUGGACUAGGAGAGAGGCA